rnacentral:rRNA from 1 species
CAGUAGCCGCGUGAAUACAGAGGGUGCGAGCGUUAAUCGGAUUUACUGGGCGUAAAGCGUGCGUAGGCGGCUUCUUAAGUCGGAUGUGAAAUCCCUGAGCUUAACUUAGGAAUUGCAUUUGAUACUGGGAAGCUAGAGUAUGGGAGAGGAUGGUAGAAUUCCAGGUGUAGCGGUGAAAUGCGUAGAGAUCUGGAGGAAUACCGAUGGCGAAGGCAGCCAUCUGGCCUAAUACUGACGCUGAGGUACGAAAGCAUGGGGAGCAAACAGGAUUAGAUACCCCGGUAGUCCCUGUCUCUUAUAC